rnacentral:misc_RNA from 1 species
UGAGCAAAGAUUUUAUGAUUUGAGAUUCCUUUGAAAAUGUUUCCAAAUGAUGCAGGGUGACGUUAAUAGCUUUAAAUAAUAUACAUGAACAUAUACAUAUACAACCAAUAAUAUGAUUCACAAAUUUGUAGUUUUACAAAAGUAGCCGUCUACGCCUCUAAUGGCUGAGCCUUCUAAAUUACAUGGCUAGUCUUCUAAAAGA